rnacentral:rRNA from 1 species
CCUACGGGAGGCAGCAGUGAGGAAUAUUGGUCAAUGGGCGGAAGCCUGAACCAGCCAAGUAGCGUGCAGGAUGACGGCCCUACGGGUUGUAAACCGCUUUUAUACGGGAACAACGCGCCUUACGUGUAGGCCUCUGCAUGUACCCUAUGAAUAAGGACCGGCUAACUCCGUGCCAGCAGCCGCGGUUAUACGGAAGGUGCGGGCGUUAUUCGGAUUUUUUGGGUUUUAAGGGUGCGUAGGCCGGAAGUCCAGCGUGCUGUUAAAUGCACGGGCGUAACCCGGGCCUUGCAGCGGAAACUGGCGGGCUUGAGUGCGCGGAAGGCAGGCGGAAUUCGUCGUGUAGCGGUGAAAUGCUUAGAUAUGACGAAGAACCCCGAUUGCGAAGGCAGCUUGCUGGAGCGGAACUGACGCUGAUGCUCGAAAGCGCGGGUAUCGAACAGGAUUAGAUACCCGUGUAGUC